CAGCCGCCACGGGAAUACAGAGGGUGCGAGCGUUAAUCGGAUUUACUGGGCGUAAAGCGUGCGUAGGCGGCUUCUUAAGUCGGAUGUAAAAUCCCUGAGCUUAACUUAGGAAUUGCAUUCGAUACUGGGAAGCUAGAGUAUGGGAGAGGAUGGUAGAAUUCCAGGUGUAGCGGUGAAAUGCGUAGAGAUCUGGAGGAAUACCGAUGGCGAAGGCAGCCAUCUGGCCUAAUACUGACGCUGAGGUACGAAAGCAUGGGGAGCAAACAGGAUUAGAUACCCGUGUAGUCCCUGUCUCUUAUAC
rnacentral:rRNA from 1 species